CACAGGGUCUAAAUGGAUCAUUUU
rnacentral:snRNA from 1 species